CGAGCUUGUUGUUCUUGGUGUCUGAAGAUGUUUUCUCUUUACAUUCUCUGCUUCAGUUACGAGGACUCUGACAAGUGCCCGAUUCUCUACGGCGACGAUCAGCUUUCCCUACUGGCCUCUGUCAAGUAUAUCAUUCAACUGAAAUGAUUGAUUUAUGUUUGGGAAAAUACUGAGAAGAACCUGACGGUGACUAGAGACAUACGUCUCAUCACCUGUAACCUUUGGAGAACAGAACCAGAAGAAGCAAACUCUCCUUUCUUCACCAAGGCCAUCCCUCCACAGAAGUAUACUGUAAGCUGUAUGGAAAAUGAAACAAAAACACUAGCACAUUUGCUCAGAUUUGGACAUUUGAACAUUACUCCAAGCCUGGAAUAACCGUAAUGUAAUCAGAGAUUGAAACGAUAGAUUUGAAGGAUUCUGAGUGAGGUCUCAGAUAGACAUCUUACCUAAUUUGUGGCCAAGCCAGUGGAACUAGAAACCUCUCUGCCACAUCCCUGAGAAGUAGGCAUUCCAAAUCGGCGUGGCCCUUCUGGGAACGGGGAGCUUCUGUCUCAAGGCAGCCCCUGAAAAUGCGGAUUAUUUUUUAAAAAAAAUUUUUUUAAUGUUCAUUUUUGCUUAUGAACUGUAAGAUUAUGACCUGAGCCGAAGUCAGACGCUUAACUGACUGAGACACCCAGGCACCCCAUGGAUUAUUUCUAAAUAUCCAAAAGCAAGCCCUACAUGACUCCAAAUGGACUCUCCGUACUUCCAGGAAACAGGAUAAUUUGAACACACGCCUCUACUUUUAUUCCCACCUAAAUGAAACUCAUCUGAACAACAGGGAGAGGAUUUUUUUUUCCCUCUGAAGGCAUAGAAUGAAGGAUUGGAUAAAUAGAAACAGUAGCAGCAAAACGUGGAAUUUGGAAAACAGAAAAACACAUGAUAAACAUUUCUAGUUUUCUCAGCUGUCCUUCAUAUGACUUCAUUUCAAGAUGUCUUGUCAUGAAGCCUCUCUUCUAGGCAAUGUCUGGAGUACAUGGGACUGGACACCACAAGGCACCAUAUGGCCCACCAGGGCUUUACCUGCUGGCAUAUUACCUCCCACAUUCAAGCCAUGUAUUUAUUCCUCAUUCUUUUCUUAUAAAUUGAUGCUUUGAACCUACA